GAUGAAGAACGUAGCGAAAUGCGAUAAGUAGUGUGAAUUGCAGAAUUCAGUGAAUCAUCGAAUCUUUGAACGCAUCUUGCGCUCCUUGGUAUUCCGAGGAGCAUGCCUGUUUGAGUGUCAUUAAAGUUCUCAACCACAUUACUACAUAUGUGGCUUGGAUGUGGGGGUUUGCAGGCUUUCUCAGAGGGUCUGCUCCUCUGAAAUGCAUUAGUGGUAUUCCUGAGCUUUACUACAGAUGUGAUAAUUUAUCUACAUCCCAAAAGUAUGCUUCAGCAACACCGCUCCUAACAAGCGAAAGCACAUUUUGAUGAAUUUGACCUCAAAUCAGGUAGGACUACCCGCUGAACUUAAGCAUAUCAAUAAGCGGAGGA
rnacentral:misc_RNA from 1 species